GCCUAUUGCAAAAAUCAUUUUAGCCAGUACGUACUAUUUUACAGGUCUUAGAAAAGGAUGGACGAGGUGAGCAAUGACAGCAGGGACAGUGCCUAGAGGAAUGAUUACAGCACUGCUCUCCCCAGUUCGCCAUGGGAUCUGAAGGAUGGAAGCACCUGAAUAAUGAGACAACAGGACACAUUCUCUAGGAAAAGUCUUGGAAAAGGAAUGAAUGAGAGAAGUAAUGACAGCAAGAACAUCUGUGAGCAGGAACAUUUCAGCACUAUUCUCCUCAACUGACUAGCCAGGCUUUUAUCUCCAACACACAGACCUGAAUAUUUUCCUUCUGUGUUUCCUACUAUAUUUACUUACCCUAAGCAAGGCAUUCACUCCUGUGUUCUCGUUAAUAACUUUAAUAUGUACUAAUGAAAACAUCCAUUGGAACAAUUCCAUAAAAAGCUUUUCCAGCAUCAACAAUAGGGACAACCUGCUA